ACGAACGCUGGCGGCGGGCUUAACACAUGCAAGUCGAACGGAAAGGCCCUGCUUUUGUGGGGUGCUCGAGUGGCGAACGGGUGAGUAACACGUGAGUAACCUGCCCUUGACUUUGGGAUAACUUCAGGAAACUGGGGCUAAUACCGGAUAGGAGCUCCUGCUGCUUGGUGGGGGUUGGAAAGUUUCGGCGGUUGGGGAUGGACUCGCGGCUUAUCAGCUUGUUGGUGGGGUAGUGGCUUACCAAGGCUUUGACGGGUAGCCGGCCUGGGAGGGUGACCGGCCACAUUGGGACUGAGAUACGGCCCAGACUCCUACGGGAGGCAGCAGUGGGGAAUAUUGCACAAUGGGCGGAAGCCUGAUGCAGCAACGCCGCGUGCGGGAUGACGGCCUUCGGGUUGUAAACCGCUUUCGCCUGUGACGAAGCGUGAGUGACGGUAAUGGGUAAAGAAGCACCGGCUAACUACGUG
rnacentral:rRNA from 1 species